AAGUUACCAAGCUGGGAAAUCAAACGACAAAAAUGGAAUUUUUCCAUUCAAUCAGUUCUACAUCCAGAAUAAGAACUACUCACUGCAAGAGAAGACAGGGGAGGAAGAAAGAAAAUUUUGAAUCUUUUUACUUCUUAUUGUAUUGGCUUCAUUAAAAUCCAUAUAAAUUUAUCACAGCAUAACAGUAUUACGCAAAUUUAAGCGCGUUAUAUCAUAUGAAUACAAAUGGCGAAACUGCACAUUCUUUUCUAUUUCUUGAAACAGAGCAGUACAGUUGUGAACCACCCAUUUCUAUAUCUCAGCGAAAGGGAAAGAAAAUCCAUAUGAAAGAUAGCAUUAAAUCAUACCGGAUAGAGGCAACGAUAUUUAACGAUAAACACGUUUAACAAACCCAAACUUAAUUUUUUUCCACCAAACAAGCAACUAACCUUGCAAAUUCUCCAUGUUUCCGA
rnacentral:misc_RNA from 1 species